CAGUCCCUGCGGUGUUCGAGAGCGACCAGCGUGUCUUGAGCCGAUAAGCAUCUUUGCAUGGGGAUCAAAGCUAGAUUGGCGCGUAUGCCCACAAGAUGGGAAACCCGAUAUCUGGAAUAGAUCGCCACUUGAACCUCAAGGUUCAAGAACCCCGUUCGCAACGGCACUGUGGGGCUAAU
rnacentral:other from 1 species